GCGCCUUGGCCCAGCCUCGGGGGUCCAGGGCUGAGGGUGCGGAACAUAAGUAAGCGGGUCUCGCCCCUUCCCCCUCUCGUCCUCGUUGGAGCCGCCGCCGCUGCAGUCUGCUCUCCGUGCCAUACCCUCGGUCCCCGGCAGCGCGGAGCCGGGAUGCGCUGCUCCUGCUGUGGGUCCUCAUCAUGGAGACCAAACGGGUGGAGAUUCCCGGCAGCGUCCUGGACGAUCUCUGCAGCCGAUUUAUUUUGCAUAUUCCCAGCGAGGAAAGAGACAAUGCUAUUCGAGUGUGUUUUCAGAUUGAACUUGCCCAUUGGUUUUACUUGGAUUUCUAUAUGCAGAACACACCAGGAUUACCUCAGUGUGGGAUAAGAGACUUUGCUAAAGCUGUCUUCAGUCAUUGUCCAUUUUUGCUGCCUCAAGGUGAAGAUGUGGAAAAAGUUUUGGAUGAAUGGAAGGAAUAUAAAAUGGGAGUACCAACAUAUGGUGCAAUUAUUCUUGAUGAGACACUUGAAAAUGUACUACUGGUUCAGGGGUACCUAGCAAAAUCAGGCUGGGGAUUUCCAAAAGGAAAAGUAAACAAAGAAGAAGCUCCUCAUGAUUGUGCUGCUAGAGAGGUCUUUGAAGAAACUGGUUUUGAUAUCAAAGAUUAUAUUUGUAAGGAUGAUUACAUUGAACUUCGAAUCAAUGACCAGCUUGCUCGUUUGUACAUCAUUCCAGGAGUUCCAAGAGAGACAAAAUUUAAUCCAAAAACCAGAAGAGAAAUUCGGAACAUUGAGUGGUUCUCCAUAGAGAAAUUGCCCUGUCAUAGAAAUGAUAUGACCCCAAAAUCCAAACUUGGUUUGGCACCUAACAAAUUUUUUAUGGCUAUUCCCUUUAUCAGACCGUUAAGGGACUGGCUUUCUCGAAGAUUUGGAGAUUCCUCAGACAGUGACAAUGGAUUUUCCUCAGCUAGUAGCACACCAGCUAAACCCACGGUGGAAAAAUUGAGUCGAACCAAAUUCCGCCACAGUCAGCAGUUAUUUCCUGAAGGUUCUCCUGGUGACCAGUGGGUAAAGCACAGACAACCAUUGCAGCAAAAGCCAUAUAAUAAUCAUUCUGAAAUGUCUGACCUUUUAAAAGCAAAGAAUCAAAGUAUGAGAGGAAAUGGCAGAAAACAGUAUCAAGACUCACCUAAUCAAAAGAAAAGAACAAACGGGGUCAAGCAGCAGAAUCCCUUGAUGAAAUGUGAAAAAAAACUUCAUCCACGAAAACUUCAGGAUAAUUUUGAACCAGAUGCUGCAUAUGACUUAUCUUGCUCUGGUGAAGACCAGUUGCUAGAACAUGCUGAGGGACAGUCUGUGGCAUGUAAUGGACAUUGCAAAUUCCCCUUUUCAUCCAGAGCCUUUUUGAGUUUCAAGUUUGACCAUAAUGCUAUAAUGAAAAUCUUGGACCUUUGAUAGCAGCAGGCGUGUUGUGGAGGUCCCAAGGUCAGAGACCUGUUGCAUUUGAGUGGGUGUCUCUCUCGCCUUACCUUUCUCAGGUGUUUUAAAGAAAUGCAGGGAGGCAAUGAUGUGUCUGAAGAGAUUGUUCUGUGUGCAGAAAAGAGAGUAGAAAGAAAUAUGAAUUUGAACUGUAAAUGUAGUUAUAACCUUUUAUACAGAUGUACCUUUUCAGUGUUUGGCUAAUGAAUUUAAAUUGCUUUUUAUGAGGGCAUUUUUUUCUGUGAUUGUGUUUUUUAUUUUAUAUUCUGAUCAAGAAAACAGUGUUUGAGUUAUCAAGUAGCCAGGUUAAUGGGGAUGCUCCAUCUACCUAUUUCAGUGAUUAUAAUAAUAGUUUCCUUAUUGAAAUUUUAAAAGAAACUUAAAAUAACACAAUUAAUUAUAUGAAUACAAGAGCUGAAAUGUCACAGAAGUCAAGAUUGCAGGUCAUCUGCUUUGGUGGCAUUUUAUACAUUUUUUUGCUUCUAACCACUAAGGUCGUCUAAUCUUCCUCUGCUUGGCGUUUUAUUGAAAGGUUUUAUUUGGAGCCAGCAUCUGUUAUACAAUGUUCACAUUCAAAAUGAACUCUUGCAUUUCAUUAAAGGGAAACGUCCUGAGCCUGGUUGGGUGGGGAGUUGCUGUUCCAAUUUUGCAUUGUGCUGUGUGCAGGCGGUAAACCUGUGAGACUGCUGAGGAGAGCAGCAGAAAGCACAGAGGCCAAGACCCGGCAGCUGCUUCCUUCGGUCACCCUGCCACCAGCCCUCUGGUGUUGUGCAAUGAUUCUGCUCUCGUGAACAUUGAAUCUGUAUUACGGUUGUGUAAAUACGUAUGGAGUACUGACAUUAUUAGCUUUUACAUUGCAUCUCAGUGUUGAUCCCUGGAAACUGAUGUUAUAUUAGGUUCCAGUUUGCAGUAGUAGCAGAGACCGACCUGCUUCUGUGAGCAAGCUGAAGCCCCUGGAUGAUGGAGCGAUAUGGAAGGGGUAUGCGAGUUACCCAAGUACAAAUCAGCAUUUCACUAGGGGCGGAUUAGAACACAAAAGUAACGUACGUAACUCACUCCUAGGAAUGUAUUUUGCUCUUUCAGGAUUCUUAAAUCCAAAUAAGGAGGGCAGUGCCCAUUGUAAGAAGGAUUUUAGCUAUAAUUGAGGACAAUCACCAGGGCUUUAAGGGGGCUUUAGUGUUUGGGCUGCUUCUGACCUCAGUGAAGGUAUUUCUUUGUGGGGGGUAGGGGGGUGUGAGCAUAUGCGUGCGUGUGCAUCUGUCAUGUGGGUUUUAAAAAUCAUUUCUUACAUGUGGUAUCCACAAAAUAUAUCUCUGCUUGUAAAUUUUAUUGUAGAAAUCUUUAUUCUGUAUAGAUAGCCUAUUUAAUAGGGGUUCUAUUUAACCCAGUGGGACUUUCAAAAGAAAUGCUAUUGUAAGGAAUUCACUUGGUAUUACUUUGCUUUAGCUUUUCAAUGGCUUGAUUUUAAAGGAGAAAUUCUAUUUAUUAAUAAAAGUGUCACCCUCUUGGUGCUAAGCAGGAGAAUUCACAAUUACAGCAGUGUGUUGAGAAUUAGGUUAUUUACAAUCCUACAUCUUUUAAUGUGACAGAUUUGUGAAUCCUUCUGUGACCUUUUUAAAAAUGCAUUAUGUGAUUAUGUUUGGAAGCUCUUUACUGUUCUUUCCAGAAAUACAGCUGCUUUGCUUGGGUCUUCUUGAGCCAUAUUUAUAGUUGGUCCCAGCAUUCCAGAUUUCUGUUAAGUUGUUAAGGGAGUGAAAACUUCGUUUGCCUGAUAGGUAAAUCAUUUUCACUCAUUUACUGUUAUCUGGAAACCUUUUAAUUUUUCGAGAUUUUUGUAUGUGUUUUUUUUUUUUUUUUUUUCUUCUUUCUAAGUGAGUAGUAUACUAUGGUCAGUCUUCUGGUGCCUAGGGCUGGAUUUUUCAGCUCUCAAUACUAAAGCAAAAGAGAUUAGAGUUUUUUUUAAUCAGAAGUAUGUCUUCUAGUAAUGGUGUUGAACCUUUUCAAGAACCAACAAAUGAUGUCUUCAAUUAUGGUGGUUUAACCAUAGUCAAAUGUUAUGCUUUUGUGCUGCUUCACUUAAUGCACUGUGGAACAAAAUAAGGGUAUUAUUGGGAUGGGGUUUUGAUAACUUGAGGCUUUUAACUCUCUUGACAGUUUGAAAUAAGAAAAAAAAGUUAAAAGAUGGGACUUAAGUUUGUGUGUGAUGUGACUUAACUAUGCAGAAAAUGUGUAAGUUGGAUGUACCUGCUUUAUGUACAUCCAGUGUACUUAUUCCCUCGAACCUGUGUAUUAGUUUCUCAGUGUUCAGGUUUCCUUGAGAAAGGCCAUGCUUAGCACAGAACUGGAUUUCUCCUUUGAGAAAUGUUAGCAUGGUUUGAAGAAAUCAAGUGAUAACGAGUGUUCUCAAUAUGCAAUAAUUUACUUCUGUGUGCUGCAUUUUAUGAAGCUAGAUGAGGAGAGUAGUAGUUGUGUUGGCUUCAUGUCUUUCAAAGAGAAAUAGGUCUUUGAAUCCACUUUUUAAAUGUUCUUAUGUUCCAGCCUUAUGUGUUCCAAGGUUCAGUGCACUGUGACUCUUAUUUUUUCAAAUUUUGUAGGUGCUUUUAUGUAUAACUGUAAUGAUUCGUAAGAUGUUAAAUGAAUUGUUUUUGUAUUUAAGCAUCGUAAUCCAAAAGAUAGGGGUAUGGUUUACAUGCUUUCAGAAGUUUUUAUUAAGACAUAGCAAAUGAAUGGUUUUAGGAUUUCAAACAGUGACGCUCUGCUGAGAAAGGAGCAUUUGGAGGAGUCUGAGAACCUAAUAGAACUCGUAUGAGCAUGGAUGAAAUUUGAUUGAAGAUGUUUGAAAAUUAAGUUGGAUUUUCAUGUUAAUAUAUAAAGACAAGUCUAUGCUGUCGAAGUCAUGUGUGGUCAUUGCUUGCUCCUUUGAGCUUUGGAUGUCCUUAUUUUUCUAUUAAAUAUCAGUAAGUACAGAUAAUGAAGAUGUAUAGCAAAACUUAGCAAAGUUUUAGGGUAUAAGAUUGGGUUGGUACUUAGUCUUUUAGUCAUUUGUCUGUGUAGUAGCUCCCCCUUAUGUGUGGUUUUGCUUUCUGCAGUUCCAGUUACCCACAGUAAACUGUGGUCUGAAAAGAAUAAAUGGGAAAUCUCAGAAAUAAACAAUUCAUAACUCUUAAAUUACACGCUGUUCUGAGUCGUGUGACGAAAUCUCCCACUGUCCCACUCCCUCCAGCCUGGGACACGAAUCAUCCCUUUGUCCGGCGGAUCUACGCUGCAUAUACUACUCACCUGUCAGUGACUCAGUAGCCGUCUGGGUAUCAGAUCGAGUGUCAUUGACCUAACAGUGGCCCCAAAGCGCAAGAGUAGUGAUGCUGGCAGUCGUGUAUCCCAAAGAGAAACUGAAAUGCUUCCUUUAAGUGAAAAGGUUCCAAGUUGCUCAUAUUUUGGUUGCAUCUCUUUGGACCAAUAAAAAAUGACAUGAGAUAAAGGUAUGUUUUAUGAUAGGAAGAAUAUUAACAUGUAUGAGUCUCUGCAGAAAUGAAAAUAAAGAACUGGUAAGUAUUUUCCAUCUCAAACAAUUACAGUUUGGUUUUUGCUUUAAAGGAAGAUUAUAGUGUGAGUUAACUAGAUACAGAAAAUCUAGCAGUUCUUGAAUUUGUACUAGAACCAGGUUUUCUGAAUAGAAUUCUUCACAGGCCUCGGAGCUCAGCAGAAAGAAAAAAAAUACUUUUCUCUAGUAGAGACCUCAGCGAUAUGGUAGUAAUUUUUAUUUAAAAUUUUAAGAGUGACCAAGGUAUUACACUCAUAUUGUCAAAGGUACUUUGCUUUGAUAGAACUGACAGCAUUGCGGUGAUGGUCCUUCUAACAGAUAUUUCUGCAAAGCUGUUUGCCAUCCUUUCUGAUAGUCAUGUAUAGCUUGUACUUCCAGUUCUUGAUUAUAUUCUAUUUCAGUGAUUUUUUUUUUUUUUUAGAAAGGGGGAAAGAUCCUUCAAUAGGUAACUCCCCAUUCAUACCAAAUUUGAAAAGGCAGCCAAGUAGAAAUUGGUGAUAAAUGAGGUUUGGCUGUUUUCACCUAAUGUAGUCUUGUAGCUCCCAGCUUUGACUAGAGCUCAUGAUUUAAUGUGGAGCAUUAUAGGUUUGAUACUUACAUGUUAUUACAGAAGGCAGCCUUACCCUUUAAUAAACGCAGUUCAAGUACAUCGUGGAAUUAGAAAUAUUUAUUCAGAAUAUAAGAAUGUUUGUAAAAUAUUAUAAAUGUCUCUGUAUAAAUAAAUGGAGUUUUUUUUUAAAAAAAACAAUUCUAUAUCAAAUAACACAAAGUAGCUAUUUUAUAGCAGCUAAAAACUAUAAAGGCAUCUGGAAAUGUUUAAAGCAUACAAAUGAAGAAUCUAAAAAUUACAAGGUAUAGUACAGUGUUAAGUGGCAACUUUAAAAUGAGACUUUCAGUACAAACAGUAGAACAAUACUGACAAAUGCAAACUUAAUCACAUGUGCUUUAAUGACAGUACAUUCAAGCAGGUUUUCCUAAUAAUUCAAGUGGUUUAAAUAGCACAUUUUCAAAUAAUAGGAAACUUAAAUGUCAUGCAAAGUAAAUAAGUCUUGACAAUCUAAAAACUCAAAUAGAAAAGAAGGGAACAUGUUUCAUUCAGUAUCUUUGCAUUAGGUUCAGACCGAAGCAGAUUAUUAGGGGCUUUUACUCACUCGACAGUCCUGACAUGAGCACUAUAAGUGAAUACUAUGAGUUCUACAAACAGAACGUUUUCCAGAUGGAUUUGAUUUCCAAAAAGUGCAAAAGUGAAUGGUAGAGCAGGAACUACUAAGCAGGUAAUCAGUGUGAACGUGGGGGAUUUUGUAUGUAGCUUGCUCUGUUCUGCUGAGCUGGUAUUUCAGAUUACUAGAGGAGUGAUUUGUAUUCCUCUAUUGGGAAAAUCAAGUACUACUUACUAGUUAAGGAUACAGUUAUCCAGUAGCAGUUGCUGUAACUGGGACACGAUUUCUUGUCAUGGUCACGUGCAAAAUCUCACCCAGAUGCAAUGUAAUAGAGGCUGUAGCCAACAUAACUCUCAACAAAAAAUGUAAUCGUUGUAUGAAACUUCCUCUACACAGAAAUUCAUCAACAGCUGCUAUUCCAACUUGUACCAUUUUCCACUUGUUUGUAUUUAACAGCCACUGAGUGGUCAGUGAGGCUGUGGUUGCAGCAGCCAGCAUUACAUUAACGAUAAUUUUUGUUCUAGUUCUAAAAAGUUUAGUACUGUGUUUCCCCGAAAAUAAGACCUAGCCGGACAA